CCGUGCCGCUGCGGCUCUCGGGGCUCUGCCAUCCCACAGCUGAACAAUCCCAGAGGAGGAGAUGGGGAACGGACUGCAGCACAAGUCCCGAGAGGAGUACCUGAAGGAGCUGGGGGUGUUUAGCCCUCUUAGAAAAGGAGGCUCAGGGGUGACCUUAUCACUCCCUACAACUGCCUGAAAGGAGUCUUUGGCCAGGUCUGCCUCUCCAAAGGAGAACAAGGUCAUGACACAAAUAAAGCUCUGCAGGACCCUGGAACAUGGGUGACUGUUGUCUGCAUCAGUCUUUCUCUUCACUCCAAAGGAGGAAGAUUCAGUAAUGGCACAUAUGAAUUGGCAAGAGGAAUUAUAAAGUCUCAAAGCAAAUGAAGCCUAGAAGAUACUUCCAGUAAUACUCUUCCCGAAUGACUGGAAGCUACCAUCCAAGAUUAUAACAACACACAGCAUGGCUUCUGAAUCCUUUAAGCACAGGGAAGUGGCAACAAGAAUUGGGAUAAAGUGAGAUAUAACAGUGGGAUUCUGCUUGUUUAAAUCCUUUGUCUUACAGAAUUCCAUCAGAGGAAUAGAAUUAAAAUUUGGCCCCUUAGACCAGAACAGACACCUGGAAGGGGUCAGCAAGAGGAUUUUAUAAAGUCUCAGAAGGUCAAGAUUGAUUUGCAAUAAAUGGAAAAGACACAAUAUUGAAUUCUGCUGUAGUGGAGAAGUGACAAUGCUCAACAAGUGUAUUUGAGAGUUUCAUUCCUUAGAACUGACUGAAAGCAGGGAAAGAGCUGGAAUUGGCUUUAGGACAUUUCAGUGGAAGAGGAUGACUGGAAAAAGUCAGGUCUGUGGAAAGAGGUGGGAUUAUAGAAAAAUGAAGCCCCAGGAGAUCUUGCAAAACAGGUUACAAACUCACUAUUGUUUACUUUGGUGGUGCCUGAAGGUUAAACUUCCCAAUUCCCAGUGGAAUUGGUGAGAAAAGCCUCCACAGAUUUCAGCUGAUUUCCAUGAAUAACAACUGAAUGGCUUGUUAGCAAGAUCUGUUUUCUCUUGGGUAUCUGGAAGAAGGUCAAGGAAGUCUCUAAUGUCCACUGCUACCUUUUACAGAGCUUUUUGGAUUCUGGUGGUAGUUGUACACUUGUACCUUUAAGAUACCUCAGUGAGUUACUAAAACUUAAAACAAUAUAUAAAUGGUUUGUGUUCUUCUUUAUUCCUCCUUGUAGAAUAAAACUUCUGAGAAAUGUUUCUUUCCCUCCCAAACAAUGAAAAAUAGUAAAGUAAGAUGCACAGAAUCCUUUGGAGAAAAAUAUGGGUUAGCAAGAACAAGACAUUUUUGACUGGACCAGCUGAACAGAAAUAAUCUAUUUUAAAAAUUUAAUUCUGCUUAUUGGGCUGUAUAAAAUUAGGUGUAGAAAACAGCUAAAGGCAAAGUCUGUUUUAACUCCCUAGUAUAUUAACUAAGAAAUUUAAUCAUUUUAAGGGUGUAAAAGCUAUCUAAGCAUUUGUCCAUUAAAAGUAUGGAGUAAGGGCCAUUGCCAUUUAACAAAGGACCAAGUGCUCCUGUGCCCUGGAGAACAGAAGACAAUCACUGACAGGAAAGGAUUCAGUUCAGAGAGAGAUUAUGUGCUCUUCUGUCUUGCUUUUUUUCCUGGGAAGAGGUACCAAGUGAACAGAGAUGAUAGCUGACAAUUACAGUAAAUGUGAACUUGCACUUAGUACAAGCAAGAUUAGGUCUGUAUUAACUGCUUUUUUUCUGAGAUAACCACGAUUAGUUACUGUAUUUAAAACUACACAAUUAAUGCAUUAUAAAACUUUGUAUUUUCCAACUAAAGGAAUUAAAAGGGACAACGGAGGUGCCAAAUAUUUCAUUUUAAAUAUCAGUAAGGAACCCUGAAGGAGCUAUCCUGUUCACAGGCAGAAGAAAGUUGCUGUGAAUCAGGGUAUCUCUCAGCAUUCCUCAUUACUGCCACUCACUUCUCAGGCUCUACUAACCAGCUUUGGGAUUGGGGAAGAAAUGUGUGACUAGAUUUCUGCUAGGAUAAGACUGCCUGCUGACAGACUUUGUGCAAAGGUCUGUAUUGUUAAAUAUGCAUUAAGUUUUGAAGAGACUCAGGAAUGGAACUAAUUCCCUAUACCUUAUAGUAAAAUGUAAUUACAGACUAAGAAUAGGCAGAAUGCUCAUUUUAUAGUCUCCUUAUUUUAUACAAACUCUAAAUGACUGACUAGAAUUCCAUGUUAUUAUUUACAGGAAACUGCAAGUAUAUAGUUAAGAGAGAUAAUCACAGGGUUAUAGCAACUAUGCUAAUGGUAAUCUUGGGUAAAACACAAUUCUUUGUUGUACAUUUUUCACAUAUGCGGUUUUACACAUUAGCAUACAGAGUCACUUAUCUCUCUCUUACUUUCACUGCAACAUUUUUUCCUAUUAAUGUCCAGCUAGUGGCUGAGGCUUAUUUUUUUUUAGUCUUUCUACAGUGUAGAUAUUAUUAAAAGUAAAUAUUUAAUCCUUUUGUCCCUUUGCUCCUUUUCAGUCCAAAGAAAUGCAAAAUUCAAUUUCAAUAUGAACUUUGCCCAAGAGAGGGCUGAAAGUUGAGUGUACAGUUGUUAAUUUUAAAUUGAACUCAAGUAAUUUCAUCCUGUAAAAGCUUUUCAUAAACAAAAUACAUUAAUAGUACUAUAGUAUGAUAAGUCCACGAAUAGGCACUUUUUGUAUUUUCUUUGCAAAAUAAUGUUCUACAAGUGAGUAAAACAAAAGCAAUAGCCUUGUAGAGGACAAUACAGUUAUAUUUACUUUACCAACAGCAACAAAUGGUAAAUCUGCUGAAAACUUCAUUUUUAUUCAAAUGUAACCCUUUGACAAACUUUACUUACUAAGUAUACCUGCUCUCUACUUGCUGUAUCCCUUUUAUAUCAGAUGCACUAUAAUGAUGCCCCAGCAGCCACUCACUAGCAAGUGAGAUAUAUGGUGCCACAGUAGGGCAGCUGGGAAGGUUUACCCCCUCCUUUAAGUCUGUCUCUGAUCCCUGAGUCAACAAGUUGUUCUUUGGUUUCAUCAGGAAUGUUAAAGAUAUGUUCACAUUAAACUCACUUUCUUCUUUGUCACUAGUGGUACACCUUCAUACUUACAAUUUUCUUGAUCCUCCUCAUUUGCUGUUUUUCCCCUGAAAGCUUCAUAUGACAUUUUGUAUAAGUUUCUGCACAUGUGUAUUAGAAGAUACCAUUUCUCAAAAAAAUAGUGAUAAUCUAAACAGGACUAUGAUGCUGGUACAUCUUCCUGCACUCUUUGAAAGUGGAAUAAAUGUCUGUGAUUUUCCAGAAAGAGAAAAAUUUGCCUUGGAAACAAGAACCAAAUUGGAUUUCUUACCUCCUGAGGCAGUGCCCUAACCAAAGUCCAGCCUUCUAAUGUCUUGGCAGCUGGAUUAUAAACCUAUCCUGUCAGUAACAAAACCAGUUAAUGAUAAUCAUCUGAUCAACACAAACAAUGCUGCAGACAUACUAAGGAACAGUCCUGUGUAUCCAAGCUUAGCUGCAUUAAGACAAGAGUAUGGAAAUAAAUACAACAGAGCAUACAUUCUUGGAAAUUCAUUUCCACUCAGGCAGUUUACUGUGUGAGUGGUGGGAACUUUGCAAUAACACUGCCCCUUUUUCUCACAUUCUUAUGUGUUUCCAGGAUGAGGGUCUAAAGAUAGCAUGUGAAUUCAGCCACUUCAGUGCAAUUCUUUCACCUAUCCUUCAUGCAAUUACAACUCUAAAGGAGAGGGAAAAUAAGACAAGGGUGUGAAUAUUCUGAGUCCAUCUUGAAUAAUUCUUAGUUAGGAAUAAACUUUGUCUUUUGAUCAUCCUUCACAUAGCCAGCCUUGAGGAUGGAAAAACCUGGCAAGAAGCUGUGCUGUGAAGAAAUGUAAGUGAUGACCCUGAGAUUGGCUCAGUUAUCUAGAGAAUAGUGCUAUUAACACCUAGGUUGUGGGUUCAAUCUGUGUUAUGGACUGUUUCAAUCCACGGCUUCUUAGUCCAGCUAAGAGUUGGACUUGAUGAUUCUUGUGGGUCUUUUCCCACACAGAAAAAUUCUGUGAAUCACAGUUUCAAAGAUGCUAAUGGUUCUCUUAGCCAAACGGUAUCUCAAAUCAGGAAAAUGGGUUGAAAUACGGUAAGGAUGUGUAGAAGCUCUUUAAGGGCUAAGUAUUUUGUGUUGUAACUAUAGAUUUCAGCUCUUGAAGCAAGUCCAAAGCAUGCUUUACAGGACUGUUUGACUCUAAUUAAACUAUUUUAGAUUUUCCCAUUGAGGGAGAGGCCAGAAGCCAAAGUAUAGGCUCUUUGCCUUUAACCCAUCUGAAGAAUAUGUGAGAAGGAGUACCUGUUGUAUUUUAUUUCUGGUUUAUGUCACCAUGAAGGAUGUGCAUAGAUCUGGAUCAUACAAGAUUUUUACAGUCCUGGCUAAACAACAAACUAUUUUUCUGUGUAACUAACAUGAAAUUUGAUUUCUUGCUUCUGUGUGGAUGGUUUAAGAAUAAAAUAGAGGUGAAUUUGUAAAUUCAUUAACAAGUAAUUAUGUUCAUACUUACUCAGAGAAUUAAAGCCAAAUAUUGUUUUUAUUCUGAACACAUAAAAAACCAUAAGUAAUGGUACUAAAUUAUCCAGAUACUGGGGGCCUCUUUCAAGUAAAGCUGUUUAUAUUGUGAGCAAAAAGCACUGUCUAUUUGUGCUUAGAGCAAAUGAUUCUUGUUAGUGUUGAUCACUAAUCCUUUUCACCCUGCUCAGCAGUUCAGCAUGCAUUAAUGCACUUUCUUAGAACUGAGCCGUAGGCAAAAGUAAUGUUUUUCACACCCUCACUGUUUUAAUGGCUGUCUUUCAGAAGACUAAGACAUACUACUGGAUACAAACAGGUAUUUGUAAAAAUCCCAAUAAAUUCUGUAGUAUAUAAAUAGACUUCCAAUUUAAACAUUUUAACCCAGAUCCUACCAAAUCCUGCCUGUAUUUCCUAAUAUCAUUUUGCUGCAGAUGGGCAAGUUCUGCUGUAUCUCUGCUGGGACAGUGGGCAGAAAGCACCCAAUAGAUUCAGUCUCUAGACAGGGAAGUGCCAAGAGGUUUCAUUGUACCACAUAAUCUGACUCACAAUUCUCAAGGAAGAGGAGCAGACAGAAGUCACAGUGUAGUCAGAUCUAACUUCACUUUUGAAAACUGUACAUUACUAUCUGAAUUAAUUUCCAAAUGUGAUUCUAUCUUUCUGCAUAUCUCACAUUCUUAUAGAAAAUUGUGUCUCGUGCUGAAAAACAAAGAAGAGGAACUGAAACCUAACAAUUGUGACUGUAGUGCAGUAAAUUUUUUAAACACUUGGGAAGAAAAUGCUGAAUUUCAGAUUUCCAGUACAUGUUUAUUUCAGCCUACAGCUGCCUAUAUAUUAUAAUGUGCUGUCCAAUUAUAUAACUCUACUGUAUAUUUUCCACUUGACUACUAUAUCAGUCAGAAUUAAAUCUUCCUUCUUCUUUACUUUUUAGCAAAGAAUUAUUGCUGCAUGUGGCCUUAUGUUUUUCUUACGUUUUGCACUCACUACUUGACAAAUUCUGAACACAGAAAUAUUUUCCUUUUUUUUUGUCACAUAAUCUGAAACUAGCUUAUUCACAGAUACUAUGUUUCUAAGAUUCUAUGAUUCUAUUAUACUAAUCAGUUCAUUUUCACAACAAUCCACUAAAAUGACAGAUUAUUAUUGCUUUCUUUCAUAAGCAGGAAAGAGGCACAGAAAGUUAAAGGUCAAAGAAUCUAUUGAUUUUGUGUACCUAAUAUAAACCAGAAGGCAUUCUGUAAUAUUUAAUAUCAAGUAGCUACUGGCCAGACCACUUUAAAUAUUUCCUGGAAGUACAGCUCCGACUGCCUAACACUGCUGUAGGUCUUGACAUUCCAUCUCAGACCUGCUGCAGUGGAACAAAGUGUGGGCUAAUGGAGCAGGUAUUUUCUGCUAGCCUUUCUCUCCACAUCUGGAGGCAAUAACUGCAGGCUUUUGUAUCCAGUAACACAAGGCAUCAGGCCAAUUUUUUCAAACAUGCAGGCAAUCAACUCCAUAUUAGUUGGUACAAAAGGCAGAGCUGACAUGUGGCAGCCUCAUAUGCCAGCUAGUUUGGAGAUGGAAAGACAACUCCUAAUGAACCGACCCACAUAGGAGAUGGGAACAUAAAGGGUAACAAGCUAUUGUAGGUGAGUGAUGGCAGCAACUACAUUAUGAAAAGCCCUAAUAGCUUUUUGUCUGCUCAAAUGGGACUGAAUUUUGCAAGUGCUCAUGCACCUGACAUGUAAUUGGUGUGUAGCAGGCGUGUUCUGUUACCACAUUACCUAGUUGUCUAAAUGCUUGCUUCACACUUAGAUGUGGACAAAAAUAAAUACACAUGUGAAAUCAAUGUGUGACAUUCAAUUUAAAUUAAAUUAAAUCAAUCAGGAAAUUAAAAUUAUUAUCAGAGUAUGUAAAGUGGCUUUAAAGACUAAAUAAAUUGAACUACUAAGAAAAAAAUAUUGACAUCACGAUUCUACAUAAUCAGAGCGUAGAACUGCAGCAGUAGAAUAACUAAAACACGCUUUUCCUGAUUGCAGAAUAAUUUAGUGUCUUUUUAUGGUAUCAACAGGAUGCAUUUUUGACUUUGGGAACAAUAGGAACAGGAAACUGUAUUUGAUUUCUCAAAAUAGCAGAGGCCUCUUGCACUAUUUAAGUACCUAAACUUAGGAUUCUGGUUUCCUAUGGUUCUAGACUAGACGUUAGAUUAAAGAAUUACUAGUUGUUUGUGCACUGGUCCCAAAUCUCUAUUGUGCUGCAGUCUCUGCGUGUUAGGCCUCACAAAAUUAUAGUUCAUAGAAUAACUCAUUGCUAUUGUUUGCUCACUCAUGGCUAACUGCUCUCUAUGGCUCGCUAUACAAAGGAAGAAUGAAGAAUGAUUUGGCAUCUGAUUUGGCCCUGACUCCUGUUCCUGAGCAGAAAAGGGGCCUGUCUCCAAACUACACAGAUUGAGGUGGGAGAACUAAAUGAAAAACGAUCUAAAACUAUAUCAAAGUAGGGAGGAACUAGAAAGCAUCCCUUCCUCCAAUAGGUCAUGUUCUUAACCCAAAAACAUUGUACAUUAAAAAAAAAAAAAAAAAAUUGCCAAAAAAAAUUUAACAUUGCACCAGUGGAAAAAAAAUGCCAUAGGCUGUGAACCACUGGUAUGUGAUUUAAUAGUCUGUCAUUGUUCUUAAUCCUGUUAUUGUUUUCUUUGCUAUUUGUUUCCACAGCAAAAUUCCAGCACUGGUAGAAAAUGAAUAGUGGUGAGACAGCUUGGAGUCUAUCUGAAACUGUCUGGUAGUUCUUUCUGUCCAGGAUUUUUGUUAGAAUAAGAUUUAAUCCUGCAGCCUUUACUUCACUGAUAUCCUCAGUGAAUGUUCUGGGAAUAGCAGUGAGAGUAGGGAGUUGACAAAUUGGACAGAUAACCACAAAUUAUUCAACAUCCAGCUGCCUUUAGCUACUAUCGCUCAGUACAGUUUGCUGAAUGACAGCUUGCUUGUACACUAAUAAACAAAUUUCCUUGUGUUUAGAACAUUUUGUUUUUCACUUUACAUCCACCUUCUUUAUUCAUCCGUCAGUCACUCUCUUUGUAAAACUGAGUAUAUUUUGAAUUGAUAACAAAAUGUCAACAAUUCUAAGUCCUUUGACUGCAUGUCAAAGCCACCUCGGUGGUUUUGUUCAUGAUUAGCUUUUCUUAAUUAUUUUCCUGUGGCUUUGUUUAUCCCUGCACAAAGAAGACCCUCUUCAAUUUAUAAGAGUCCAUAGUCUGCUAUCUGUAAGUAGCUUUAGCUGCCCCCAAAUUAUAUGGAAUAGCUAAAUAAACACUUAUGCCCAGUAAAUACAUGAAUAAUUUCUUAAAACUUCUCUCCAAGAAUAAGUAAUCACAUUCAAGUAUAGUUGUACAAAUUACCAAUUGCUAAUUUUUGACUACAGAACUAUCCCAGUAGCCUGCACAGACUUAAUUUACCUCCUUGGUACUGCAAAGAUUAAUAUGGAAGAAAGCUUCUACUGUGAAAAUAAAAUGGUUUCUAUAAUAUGCGAGUUAAAUCUGCCUUUAUAAAUAUUAUUGUUCUCUCAUGAUCUCACUACAAACAUUUUAUUUCUUGCAAAGCAUGCUAUGUAAACAUAAACCUUAGCAAAAUAAAGUUUAAUUAAGGAUCUUCUGACCUUCAGUAGAACAACAUACAAACAACAGAUUUUCACAGCAGUUCUGAUCUGUGUAAUAAAAAUAGCUAUAUUGACAAAUAUGUAUUGGGAGGAAAGUAGUAAUGGAAAGAAAGUGCUACCUUACCUACUAACCAGGUUUCUGGUCAUGUUAAAUAAAUGUUUACAUGUACAGAAACCUUCGCUUAGAGGGCAUGGCAAAGGCUGAGUGAGAUUCUGCCAGUAUUUUAUGAGAUACAAAGGCUUUUUUAGGAAGAAAAACAAAUCUCCAUUUUUUUCCAACAUAUGUGGCAUGAGGUCUUUGCAAAUAAGCAAAUUUGCAAAGCAGGCCAGAAAACAUUUUUAGAUUUUUUCAAAUUCUGUCAUGUAUAAAGAGAAGGGUAAAUAAGAGAGAGGAGAAAAAGAGCUCUAAAUUUCACUAACACUCUUUAAAGCAUUCAUGACUCACAUAUAUGGAAUAAUGUACCUAUCUAUGUAAAUCAAGGUUCAGAGUAAAUUAAUUGGUAAUCUUAAAAAAAAGUCUGGCCAAGUUCUAUCUUCUGAGAUGAACUUAUACCAGGAAAGAAAAUGUAAUUUCAGAAGCAGCAUGGAUGAUAGUGUUAAGAUUAAUGAUGUAAAUUCUGAACUGAUACACACUUAAGUGCAAGUCCAGUAAAGAUGAUACAGUUUAUAUGUAAGAUUUUGUUCCUCAUAGUUAAGUGAAACUAUCUACAGAAAAGGACUUCUAGCAGCAGAUUUUACCAUCUCUGCAGCCUUUCUGGCAUUUCCAAAGUCACAAAAUUAGGACAAUAUGAGACUAUUGUUCUAAUUCCAACACUAAAGGAAGUAACAGUUCUGAUAUAGAAGAACAUUUUGGUUGGCUUUCACCAUGUGAAGAAGCAAGGUGAGACAGUAUUUUUGCCAAUGAAUUACUUGCUUUCUUUCUAAGACUGGAAUUUCAUAUUUUCCACUAAGUCACCAUACAAAGACAAUAGCAUUGAGACACCAUCUGUUCCCUAUCAGUCACCCUAAAUUUGAGAUUUUGGGGUAAGUCUUCCACUCUUAUUUCUUACCCAAUCAGUCACCAGCUGUUCCUUGUCAGCUAAACAGUACUUAAUUCCCAGGGUACAUUGAUAUCAAACAGCAUAUUUAUGUCUUUCCAGAAAGGAAUUGUUCACUAACCACAGCAAACUCUUCCUGUAAAUCCUUCACAAAUGCCAGCAGUUUCUUUUUAAAGACUUUCUGGAUGAAGUACCUCUACCCUAGCAUCAGCAGCUAGAUCAAGGUCUGGUCACCUUCCAGACCAACAUGUUGAGACUCGGCCUCAAUGAGUUCUUGGCUGAGUUUUCAGGGAUUCUUUGAACACAGAACUUCUUAAAUCUCAAAAUUCAUUUAGAAAAUUCAAUUAUUUUCUGGUAAGCAAUUACUUUGACAAAUACAUCCAGAGGAUCAGUAUACCACAUACCUUCACUUUGUUCAUAGGAAAAAGAAACAAACAAACAUAAAAAAAAAAAACCAAAAGGAGAUAAUGGGUGUUUUGUGCAAAUUACAAGGUAGCAUGUUUUAUAUGUAAUGUGGGACAUAGACAGUACAUUAUUUUAAAGAGCAUAAAUUUUGCUACUUCCAGAUCUUCCUAGGUGAGAUUUCCAGUACUUGUAUUAUUUUUACAUGAAAACAUGCACAGCUGAAGAUGUCCCCAUGGAUAGGGGUUUCACAUCUUAAAUGUGCAUGUCAGCACUAGCUAUAAAAUUUUAACAGGUCCAAAAUAAAUACACAAGUCUUACUGUAUUUCAUUGAGUUAUUUCUAUCAAGUCUCAAGUAAAACCUUCAGUGUGGCAGAAGAGGAUGAAACCUGAAAAUUGGCAUAUUUCUUGGAACACUAGUUGAUUUUUAACUGAUGAAAGGACUGUUUCUAGAGCAAGAGUGCUUUGGAUCCUGACUUUCAAUAGCAAAACAGAGCUUUCGACCUCCUAAGGCACAUUAUUCUCUUGUAAUUGUUCAUUUCCUCUCUAGUGUUUUGUCUCCAAGAACUGAACAGAUUAUUAUCACUCUAAAAUGUUUCCUUUCUAUAGGGAUUCCUCAAGAAUUUGUGAGGCAGAGUUGCAUUUGCCUCUAGCACACAUACAAAUUUUUAAUAACAAGCCAUGUGAAUAACAAAGUAAAUUUGUGUAAAGAUUUGCAUGACACCACUUUAAAGUAACUUUUAUAGUAAUGUGAAAUUUUAAAAUCAUUAUUAUACAUAUUGUAUUUCAUUCCUUCACUGUUCUGUAAAGUUGUUGCUCCAACAGCAGCUGCUGUGGUCCUGUCAACCUUCAUCUGCUUCAUCUUCAUCCUUUAUCUGCUCAACAUGUCAAAAAAAAAAAAAA